AAGAUAUAAAGCAACGGAAGUAGUAGAUUAUAAGAAUACUUUUCAGAAAGCGUAUGGGGAUGUGAAUGCGUAGAUUCUUAUUUUCGAACUCGUCCACUGAUAAUAGUUGCCGAACUUUUAGUAAGUGACUACGGUUAAUCCUCGUUAAGGAUUUCGAGAGUCGCACGAGAGUGUGGAACUUAGGUGGUAACGCGAUAAUUCGUCCUAUGA
rnacentral:ncRNA from 1 species